GAUACAACAACAAAACAAAGUCAAUCAAACACAGUCAAUCAAAGGUUUCAAUUACCUACAUACAUCGCAUCAACCACCCAGCUCUUAUUUUUAGCUCGUAUACGCCCGUCUACACAACAACGUCAAAUCCAUCAUCCCCAGCAGCACGGAGUUCUUUUGACCAAUUUAUGAUUACCAGUUACAUAUACACUUCAACCUCAGCUUUCUAUUAUAAGCGCUUCCACCUGCUGCUGGAGAUAAUCAAACCCUUUUUGAUAAUAAUUUGGAAUAGAGAUGAGAUUAAUCAUUCAGCCCGUAUUUGACGUCUCUUCCAUGGAGAAAUAUUUGCAUAGAAUCAACAACUGGGACAAACCUUAUCAAGGCAGAAUAUCAAACUCGACUAUAUUAUUUAAUACUAGGGGAAUUUGUGGCGAGGGAGUAGCCGAAGUGUAGCACCAACUUUGCACAUAGUCGUGGAUAUGACCUGGUGUAAACCGCACUGGAGUAUCAGAUCAUCCAACCGGUGAGGCUUUCCUUGACUUGUCUCUGGCCUCGGGAUUCACUCCUUCCACUGUCAUGGACAGAACCACCAAAAUCCGUGUUUGCUAAACUUUCACUUAAGCUGAAACCACUUUCAUCGCAUCAUUGCUACCACCAGUGAUACCUUCACGUUGCCUUCUGCCUCCUGGCCAUGGAUCAUUGAGUGAGCAAACUUGCAAAACUUGCUUUAAAUAUGACGUAAGUUUAUUAAAUGUACUCGUAUCUACCCGUAUUUAGCUUCCCGCAGACGUACGAGUUGUAUUUAUAUGUAGAAAUUCGAAACAAUAGGCUAAGGUGACGGUAAAGAUAAAUUUCGAAUACAUUACUGUCCAGUCAACUUUAUUCAGUAAGUUUACAAAUGGGACAUUUAGCUCAAAAAUAGCUGACCAACUAAUCAGUAGCAAUCUACUAAUCCACCUUUAUUGAUAGUGAUGCAUGGCUUUGCCUACGAAUUUGCGGUGUCAGCUUCACCGUGCAAGUAAAGAAUAUCAGUAUUAUGAUCAUUUAUGAUAAAGCUAUUUCUGCUUCGUCGGUUUCACAUUACAGCCAAAGCUUGGUAUCAAAAUCAUAAGAAAUGCUGUCUCGGCAAUAUUUUGCGCCUACGAAUCCUGUUUACUUUUGUAACUAGAUCGCGAAAGGAAAACCUCGUAUGAGCAAUCAGAAAUUGCCUCUCGUAAAAAUAUGCUGUUUUGUAAUCAAUAACUCGACAGUAAUAUUCCACACCACACGACGUAUAAACAAACCAAAAGUGUUGUGGUCAUUCAUGCGGAUGUGAAACUAUUGUGUUGCCUACUGACUUGCUUUUAUUUUUAGGCACUGUAAAUUGAUAUUCCUCUACAGCCUCGCAAUUUCCCGUUAAUAUUUACCCAGUUCUUACAAAAGACUAAAGACGACACAAUUUCUGUAAUCCUUAUGUUUUUUUUCUUCUACACAUGAGCAAACAAACCUUUGCGGUCGUCAUCAGCAAGUGUUUUGCUAAAAGAUAUUACUUAUGUUGAUACUCGGGUUGAAUGAGUUUUUUAGGUUUGUCCACAUUAGGCCUUUAUCCAGACUGAUGACCCUGUUUAGACGGGUAGACGGCCCAGAAUUGAUGACAAAUUGAGAAAACAGCUACGCGACGUGGUGGAAGAGAAAGUGUAUUACGCUCUCACUCUGAUACCUAAGCCACUGCUCCUUAUUACACGUGUAUUAUUUAAGCAACAGUGCACACACGCUGGGUUGUGGGCAUUCAAACCAUGGUCAAAAAAUAUCCGGAGAAGAAGUUGGCUGGGUUCGUUUUUAGGAGAACGAGAGGACAAAACAUGCAUUGAACAAGUUUACAAUUACGCAGCAGACCUUUUAUCGAGUGAAAAGAAGGGAAAGAAAGGAGGAAGAAAGAGAACAAGAAAAAAUGGACAGUGUCGGUGUCAGAGUGAUGAAUAGGCAAAAUCAAGAUUCACACCAGGCGGAAAUUUCUGAGGAAGGAAGACCUUUCCUGCUUUCGUGGUGAAAACUUCCCUUCCCGUGCCUCUUAUUUGUCAGAUGAAGAAACUACAAGAUCACAUCCUAUGGAGGAAAUGAUUUCGUGUCCAGCAAGAGCAAAGAACUGCGAGAUGUUCAUUCACGAUAAGAUGCCAUAUCAAGCCUCCAGACCGGGGUUUUUCCGUUUCAAGGAAGAUCUGGGGGUUAGGAUAGGACAAGGAAUUACCUAAAAAUAUGUGCACUGACUUUUUGGAUUGUAAUUAAUUUAUGGAUUUUAAAUGCAAUCAAGACUGGGAAAUAUGUACUUGAGCCGUAUUUACUAGUCACGAGAGAUUGUUGCCAGUUUUAUAAUAAAAUAUAAUUUUAAAUUCG